rnacentral:rRNA from 1 species
GACGAACGCUGGCGGCGUGCCUAACACAUGCAAGUCGAACGGUUCCAUUGUUAACACUGAGUAUAUUGCCAAGCGUCAUGCGAGAGCGAUAGCUCGAGCAUCACGCUAAUCCCAAGAGCAUAGCACAUGCAAAGGAUGUCUCGAGAGAGACAGACCAAGAGCAUAGCACAUGCAAAGGAUGCCUUGAGAGAGACAGACCAAGAGCAUAGCACAUGCAAAGGAUGUCUCGAGAGAGACAGACCAAGAGCAUAGCACAUGCAAGGGAUGGCAGUAUAUUGAGUGUUAACGAUGGGAUAGUGGCGGACGGGCGAGUAACGCGUGAGCAACCUGCCUUGUACUGGGGGAUAACACCGGGAAACCGGUGCUAAUACCGCAUAAUACUACAGGAACGCAUGUUUUGAGUCAAAACUCAGGUGGUACAAGAUGGGCUCGCGU